UACGUAGGGGGCAAGCGUUGUCCGGAUUUAUUGGGCGUAAAGAGCGUGUAGGCGGCCAGACAGGUCCGUUGUGAAAACUCGAGGCUCAACCUCGAGACGUCGACGGAAACCGUCUGGCUAGAGUCCGGAAGAGGAGAGUGGAAUUCCUGGUGUAGCGGUGAAAUGCGCAGAUAUCAGGAAGAACACCCGUGGCGAAGGCGGCUCUCUGGGACGGUACUGACGCUCAGGCACGAAAGCCAGGGGAGCAAACGGG
rnacentral:rRNA from 1 species